rnacentral:rRNA from 1 species
CCUACGGGUGGCAGCAGUGGGGAAUAUUGCACAAUGGGGGAAACCCUGAUGCAGCGACGCCGCGUGAGUGAAGAAGUAAUUCGUUAUGUAAAGCCCUAUCAGCAGGGAAGAAAAUCACGGUACCUGAGCAAGAAGCCCCGGCUAACUACGUGCCAGCAGCCGCGGUAAUUCGUAGGGGGCAAGCGUUAUCCGGAUUUACUGGGGGGAAAGGGGGCGUUGACGGGAGUGUAAGGCUGGAGUGAAAGGCUGCGGGUCAACCCCGGGACUGCCGUGGAAACUGUGCAGCUGGAGUGCAGGAGAGGUAGGUGGAAUUCCUGGUGUAGCGGUGAAAUGCGUAGAUAUCAGGAGGAACACCGGUGGCGAAGGCGGCUAUCUGGCGCCCGACUGACGCUGAGGAGCGAAAGCGUGGGGAGCAAACAGGAUUAGAUACCCUUGUAGUC